AUUGAACGCUGGCGGCAGGCCUAACACAUGCAAGUCGAACGAGUGGCGGACGGGUGAGUAAUGUCUGGGAAACUGCCUGAUGGAGGGGGAUAACUACUGGAAACGGUAGCUAAUACCGCAUACCAUCGGCUGUGCCCAGAUGGGAUUAGCUAGUAGGUGGGGUAAAGGCUCACCUAGGCGACGAUCCCUAGCUGGUUUGAGAGGACGACCAGCCACACUGGGACUGAGACACGGCCCAGACUCCUACGUGAGGCAGCCGUGGGGAAUUUUGGACAAUGGGGGAAACCCUGAUCCAGCCAUCCCGCGUGUGCGAUGAAGGCCUUCGGGUUGUAAAGCACUUUUGGCAGGAAAGCGGUACCUGCAGAAUAAGCACCGGCUAACUACGUGCCAGCAGCCGCGGUAAUAC
rnacentral:rRNA from 1 species